rnacentral:rRNA from 1 species
UACGGAGGGUGCAAGCGUUUAUCCGGAUUCACUGGGUUUAAAGGGUGCGUAGGUGGGUUGGUAAGUCAGUGGUGAAAUCUCCGUGCUUAACAUGGAAACUGCCAUUGAUACUACUGAUCUUGAAUUUUCAGGAGGUAAGCGGAAUAUGUCAUGUAGCGGUGAAAUGCUUAGAUAUGACAUAGAACACCAAAUUGCGAAGGCAGCUUACUACAGGAAUAUUGACACUGAUGCACGAAAGCGUGGGGAUCAAACAGG